UACGUGAGGGUGCAAGCGUUAAUCGGAAUUACUGGGCGUAAAGCGUGCGCAGGCGGUGAUGUAAGACAGGUGUGAAAUCCCCGGGCUAACCUGGGAACUGCAUUUGUGACUGCAUCGCUGGAGUGCGGCAGAGGGGGAUGGAAUUCCGCGUGUAGCAGUGAAAUGCGUAGAUAUGCGGAGGAACACCGAUGGCGAAGGCAUCCCCUGGGCCUGACACUGACGCCCAUGCACGAAAGCGUGGGGAGCAAACAGG
rnacentral:rRNA from 1 species